rnacentral:rRNA from 1 species
UACGUAAGGUCCGAGCGUUGUCCGGAAUCCUUGGGCGUAAAGGGUACGUAGGCGGAUAAGCAAGUUAGAAGUGAAAUCCUAUAGCUCAACUAUAGUAAGCUUUUAAAACUGCUCAUCUUGAGGUAUGGAAGGGAAAGUGGAAUUCCUAGUGUAGCGGUGAAAUGCGUAGAGAUGUGGAGGAAUACCGGUGGCGAAGGCGGCCCCCUGGACAAAGACUGACGCUGAGGUACGAAAGCGUGGGUAGCAAACAGG